rnacentral:rRNA from 1 species
UGUAGUGUUGAUGUUCUAACGUCGACCCCUAAUCGGGGUUGCGGACAGUGCCUGGUGGGUAGUUUGACUGGGGCGGUCUCCUCCCAAAGAGUAACGGAGGAGCACGAAGGUGGGCUAAUCACGGUUGGACAUCGUGAGGUUAGUGCAAUGGCAUAAGCCCGCUUGACUGCGAGAAUGACAAUUCGAGCAGGUGCGAAAGCAGGUCAUAGUGAUCCGGUGGUUCUGAAUGGAAGGGCCAUCGCUCAACGGAUAAAAGGUACUCCGGGGAUAACAGGCUGAUACCGCCCAAGAGUUCAUAUCGACGGCGGUGUUUGGCACCUCGAUGUCGGCUCAUCACAUCCUGGGGCUGAAGUCGGUCCCAAGGGUAUGGCUGUUCGCCAUUUAAAGUGGUACGCGAGCUGGGUUUAGAACGUCGUGAGACAGUUCGGUCCCUAUCUGCCGUGGGCGUUGGAAGAUUGAAGGGGGCUGCUCCUAGUACGAGAGGACCGGAGUGGACGAACCUCUGGUGUUCGGGUUGUGUCGCCAGACGCAUUGCCCGGUAGCUAAGUUCGGAAUCGAUAACCGCUGAAAGCAUCUAAGCGGGAAGCGAGCCCUGAGAUGAGUCUUCCCUGAUACUUUAAGUAUCCUAAAGGGUUGUCGGAGACUACGACGUUGAUAGGUCAGGUGUGUAAGUGCUGUGAGGCAUUGAGCUAACUGAUACUAAUUGCCCGUGAGGCUUAACCAUACAACACCCAAGGGGUUU